AUUUAUGCUGUCUCGUUCUGUAGACUGGCUAGUGGGUGGGUAUAUCGAAUUAAUUGUUGGGCCGUCUAGCUACUGAUUCUCGUUUAAUCUACAUAUUACUGGUAGUUAGAUUCUGCGGCAAUGCAAUGUCACGUUAUGCCUCCUAGUUAAGCAUUACUCACAAAAAAAUCACUUAACAUUAGGUUGGCUGCCCCCUCUCCUCUAAAACUCACUGACCUAUGUUUGCCCAUAGAUGUCUUUCUCCCGUUAUCUUCUUUGCGCUUGUUGAUUCCACCGCUGAGGCUGGUCUCUGCGGCCAUGUGGCAAGUAGCGCAACGAAGAGAUGUCUUGGAUUAUGAGAAGUUGGAGGAGUUUGUCACCCUUGUUACAGCUACUGUUCCAGAUCUGCUGAAUGAGAAACAGAGGGCCACGCUCCUUUUGAGGCUUCGGACGAGGGUUAGUAACACUUGCAACGACCUGUUGCAGAAACUCAUUGUAAUCUAUGUUAAGGUGGCUGUUGACAGGUAACCCCUUUCAUCGACAAUGGGCUUUGAGCUAAUUGUAUCUUUGUUCUGCGUUCAUAAAGCUGCUGCCGGUGGUCCGAAUUUAUUAUGGUUUGUUUCUGUACUGGUGUUUUAUCUAUAGUUAUGGUUUGAUGGGUCCAGUUUUGUGUUCUUAUGCUGUUAUUUUCAGGUGAUACUGGAAUUGUGUGCCGCUGACCAGACAGCUGAUAUCCAGAUUGUCCAACCCCACCUGGACAGAAUUCACCCACCUGGACACACAGGGAGUGGAGAUGCUGAGGUGGAUGCAGAGGAGGCCAUUUUUCUGGAGCUCAUCCAGACUUUGCUGAAAGACCCAGCGGAGAGAGAACAUUUCUUCAGGGUGGUGUUUCCGGCUGAAUAUGGGGACACCUAUGACACAGAUAUGCAACUACUGGUGUGGGAGUUCCUCUCUAAACUGGAGAAGCUAUUGCCAGUACCAGACCUCGGACAGGUGAUGGCCAAAUGAGGCUUCAUUACCGGUCUUCUGGCAGCAGGAACAUGUGCUAGCAGCACUAACUCAGAUUUUUUUUUUCAAAAUAAAAGCCGUCAUUGAAAUGUAUAAGGCAAUAUGAAUUGAUAUAAGGCAAUAUCAAUAUUGAUCUAGUCUGUACAUGUUAUGUUUAAUGUUUGUAACAAAUAUUGUUCUUGUUAAAACUAGAUUGCAAUAUAAAUGUCAAUUAUGCUUUUAUUUUGAAAAAGAAAAUCAGAGUGGUGCCAGCAUAAUGUCAUGCUGCUAAAAUAACUUUAAAGAAGCCUCGUUUGGCCAUCAAUACCAACACACCCCUCUAGGUCACCUGCAGUGGCGUUAAAGUCAUCCCCAGUCUUUGUAUUGUGUGUACUGAGAAAAUAAUACCAACCGCUCACCAAGAUGGCAAUAUUACACUGAUUCAGUUAAAGGAGGCUGAAGCUAUAUCUUCUAGGGUAAGAUAACCCAAUAUAUGCUGCCAUUCUGCUAAUGGAGUUGCUAGUCAGAGGGGUCUAUGCUUUUUCGCGAAAUUGGCCUAGUGUUUUAAUAUGGUGCAGAGUGGGAUGUUUUCUG
ensembl:lncRNA